rnacentral:rRNA from 1 species
AGAAUCAACGCUGGCGGCGUGCCUAACACAUGCAAGUCGAACGAGAAAGUGGAGCAAUCCAUUAGUAAAGUGGCGCACGGGUGAGUAACACGUGACUAACCUACCCUUGAGUGGGGGAUAACCUAGAGAAAUCUGGGCUAAUACCGCAUAAUACCUUCGGGUCAAAGGAGCAAUUCGCUUAAGGAGGGGGUCGCGGCCGAUUAGUUAGUUGGCGGGGUAAUGGCCCACCAAGACUAUGAUCGGUAUCCGGCCUGAGAGGGCGCACGGACACACUGGAACUGAAACACGGUCCAGACUCCUACGGGAGGCAGCAGUGGGGAAUUUUGCGCAAUGGGGAAACCCUGACGCAGCAACGCCGCGUGGAGGAUGAAGCCCCUUGGGGCGUAAACUCCUUUCGAUCGGGACGAUAAUGACGGUACCGAGAGAAGAAGCCCCGGCUAACUUCGUGCCAGCAGCCGC